ensembl:lncRNA
AUGUUUAUCAGUACAUUACAGGAAAUAAUGAACUUUAUCACAAUAUGCUAAUUUUUUGAGAAGGACCUGUAUAUACAAAGUAUGUGUAACUUUUCUGUUGAGUCUCAUUGCAGUAGUUGGGUUUUAGCAACUUAAACGCUAAUUAAUGCAGGGAAAAGGCAGUAGAUCCUUUGUUGAAAAGAUGAACUCCUUAUAAUAAUCCUCAAGAUAUCCACUCUGAAUUGAUUGAAAUGACCAAGUGUUGUCCAAGCACUGAUAAUUUAGAGUUUCAUUGUCCUGUUCAAGGUCACACACACCUUAGCAGGAAAACAAAACUCGUCUGUCCUUGUACUGUAUCCUCGUACUGUACUACAGGUCCUAACAAAUGCUUUAGGCUGGUAUGCAAAUAACCAUAAUGCACUGUAUAUGAGAGGAUUUUGCUACAAUUUUAAUCAUGCAUUGCUCCCAGCGGGAAUUUAAAGAGCUUGGUCACACAGCUUCUCACGUGGCUGUCUUAUAAUAUGAAGUGAUUUCCUCAGUAUUUUGUUUUGUUUUCUAGGAAGCCUAGUGCAGUCCAGAUAAUGUGAUGAUUCUUUUUUUUUACUUUUUUUGAGAACCUGUGAUCAGAUCUGCCUGUCUCCUUAAGCGACAUAACGUCAAUAAGUUGCCUAUAACUUAAACUAACUUAAAAUUGUAUAUGUUAAUUUAUUUAAAUGCCUCAUUCUGUCAGUAUAAUGAUACUGUUGUCUUUGAGAUAGCAGAAAUAAUCUAUUAAUUUAUUCCAAUCACAUGUUGUUUUUUUUAAGUUGAGCUGCUUUUUUUGUUACUGAAUUGUUUUACCUUCAUAAAAACGUAGUAAGUAUUGUAAAAAGAGGUAACUGCACAGUCAAGCAAAAUAUCCUCUAGGAUCUGCUUGUUUGCAAAAACUUGCCCACAACUAAACUAUAAAGAACUACUGUCAACAUCCCAUCUUCUUUAGGGUUGUGACCCUCUCAGGGAUGCAUCAAGUCAUAACUGUUCCCUGGUUCCCACAAUUUGUUUCUCAGACAUGCAUUUUCCUUGCCGGACGGCCCACACUUGCAGUAGCCCUCGUUUUUGCUGCACUCUUCGCUGUCUAUUGCACACUAACUUGUAAAGUUGGUUCUGCAUAUCGGUUAGGCUGAUUUGCAGCACCACUACAGAGUUUUUGUAUAAACCUGUAAAGUAGCAUUUAAAAGAUGGUGUCCUGGUGACAGUGUAAAUAUGGUACAUUUUAGUGUAAACAUCUUUGAAAAACUUGUAGAUUAUUCUAGAAUUUGUAUUUUUGUAUAGACUUUUGAAUUGUUAACUCAGAGUUUGAACCUAAUGUAUACUCUCUGUUCAUUCUUCUCCCCGUCACAUUUAUGCAGAAGAUGUUUUUGCUGUGUUUUAGUUGAAUAGUUAUACAAGCCGCUGGGCUUCUGUAUAGUCCACAUUGUAAGAAAAUAUAUGUAACGUAUAGCCUCUGGCUCAGAGUAUAAUUUAACAGUAUUGUUUCGCAUGGGACACAAUGCAAUGAUGAUAGAGUAAAGGCAUUAUGCCCUGUAAAUGGCAGUAGAGCUUCUUGGCCUUAUAACAUUAAUUGUUCUUGCCUUGAUGGGUCUCUGCUUUAGUAAUCGACAUAUUGGCACACUCAGUUUUCACAUUCACCGACUCUCAGGCAGCCAUUCCAGCAGCAGAUCACACCAAGGCAAAAGCAUGGAGAUUUUCCACUUGUGAUAUUGGGAAAGUCUAAUGGGCUUUCCCAAUAUAAUAUAAUAAUAUUGCAAUAAUAUUGCAGCGUUGACUAAAAAAGAAAUUAAACUCAGCUCUAUAACAGAUGCAGACAUUGUGAUUCUGCUUUUAAUUUCCAAUUUGCAGAAUCAAUCUUUUAUUAAAAAAAAAAAAAAGAAAAAAAAAUUUGAAUCUGGCUCCUUUUUUGUGUGUGGUUCAGGAAAUUUAUAGGUGCCACAAGGCAAACUUCCUCCCAUAAUACAAUAUUAAUUAGAUGUCUGGAGCAUCUAAAUCUGACAUUGACUCCAGUGGAUAUUAAAAUCAUUCCCACAAAGAAAUAAAAAUACCACCGGGAGUCGUACCUAUUCACCAUUAUAGGUUCUCAUACAAAUCAUUGGUGAACCCAACUAUGCAAUUUUAAGUGUGGUAUUUACAAGUUCACUUAAUGACUCCAAGAUUAAAUGGUUACUUAUGCCAUGAAAUAACAUUUGCUGCAAAAUAGUUUGAGCUAUGGUUCUCCUGAACAUUUUGCAUUGAAUGGUGUGAAUCUGGACUCUAGUGAAUCCAUAAAGUACCGUUUCACAGCCACCCCAUCGCCUCUGUAAUUGGUUUAAUAUCAGCUGGAUUUGCAUGUUUAAGUAUUUGGCAGUUUUGUUGUUUUAAUCAGAUAUUUUCUGUUUUAAGCUUAAACACGUUUAGGAUUCCCUCCAGUUUGAUCAUUUCACAUUUUCGUACGCUUCAGUUUAACAUGUGAAUUAUUGGUUUCUAUCAUUAGACAGAGAAAUUUUCUCUUUGGCCAAGUUCACGUGGCUGAUAUUUGCAUCAAGCUGUAGUGUCAGCAAAUCAAUUGUGGCGACAUUUGUUUGGAAGCAGAUUGUCACAAGUGUAGAUUCUUUGGAAUUUCUGCCAUCAACAUUACCGCCAAACAGGCUAUAUUUUCCAGGAACGGCUGGGGCAGGGAGAAAGAGGAAAACGACAUGCUUCCAAAGGAAUGUCUUGACACCCAAAGAGUGAGGAAAUGUUAAGAAUUUGUAUUUUUAAAAGAAUGUAUAAUGUGAAACUGUUUGCUUAUGCGUUUCAUAUAAAUAUGAGUAACUUUCUGAAUUGAGAGCAAUAUAAUACUAAUAAAACCUUAUCACUGAAAUGUUUGCUUGGUGAAGCAUUUUAUUUGUGUUACUAUAAUAGAAUUCAUUCAUUUAGUUAGAUAGCAAUCAGCAGUUGGGAGGAGUCUUCCUCUUCUCUUCAUUUCUGGGGUGGUGCGGACACAUCCUGGGGUGAACUCACUUCUAGGGUACGACGCAAGUCCUUCAAGUCAUUCUCGAUCAUUUUGCACAGGGCUACUUUUUCAGACAGGUCCACCAGUCUGUCCUCGAUGUCCUGUAGAACCUGUGGAGGACGUGUUGGUUAAAAUGGCUAACACCAUCAGGCUAAAAUGUCAUGCUGUGACUCACCUGGCUAGUCUCCGAGCCUGCCUCAUCAACGCACCCAGACGGCAGAUCCUCUGCGCAACCUGCAAGUGUUCAAAACAUACCUGGAAAAACCUGCUGACAACAUGAAAGCUGGAGGGCAGCAGGCGACCUUACCAGUUUCCGAGGCCAUGAUCAAACACACAUUUGUCUUGCAAGCUCAGCG